rnacentral:rRNA from 1 species
GCCGGACUGAGAGGUUGAACGGCCACAUUGGGACUGAGACACGGCCCAGACUCCUACGGGAGGCAGCAGUGGGGAAUAUUGCACAAUGGGGGAAACCCUGAUGCAGCGACGCCGCGUGGAGGAAGAAGGUCUUCGGAUUGUAAACUCCUGUUGUUGAGGAAGAUAAUGACGGUACUCAACAAGGAAGUGACGGCUAACUACGUGCCAGCAGCCGCGGUAAAACGUAGGUCACAAGCGUUGUCCGGAAUUACUGGGUGUAAAGGGAGCGCAGGCGGGCGAUCAAGUUGGAAGUGAAAUCCAUGGGCUCAACCCAUGAACUGCUUUCAAAACUGAUUGUCUUGAGUAGUGCGGAGGUAGGCGGAAUUCCCGGUGUAGCGGUGGAAUGCGUAGAUAUCGGGAGGAACACCAGUGGCGAAGGCGGCCUACUGGGCACCAACUGACGCUGAGGCUCGAAAGUGUGGGUAGCAAACAGGAUUAGAUACCCUGGUAGUCCACACCGUAAACGAUGAUUACUAGGUGUUGGAGGAUUGACCCCUUCAGUGCCGCAGUUAACACAAUAAGUAAUCCACCUGGGGAGUACGACCGCAAGGUUGAAACUCAAAGGAAUUGACGGGGGCCCGCACAAGCAGUGGAGUAUGUGGUUUAAUUCGACGCAACGCGAAGAACCUUACCAAGUCUUGACAUCCUGCGGCGAUGCUAGAAAUAGUAUUUUCCUUCGGGACGCAGAGACAGGUGGUGCAUGGUUGUCGUCAGCUCGUGUCGUGAGAUGUGGGGUUAAGUCCCGCAACGAGCGCAACCCUUAUGGUCAGUUACUACGCAAGAGGACUCUGGCCAGACUGCCGUUGACGAAACGGAGGAAGGUGGGGAUGACGUCAAAUCAUCAUGCCCUUUAUGACUUGGGCUACACACGUACUACAAUGGCGUUAAACAAAGAGAAGCAAGACCGCGAGGUGGAGCAAAACUCAGAAACAACGUCCCAGUUCGGACUGCAGGCUGCAACUCGCCUGCACGAAGUCGGAAUUGCUAGUAAUCGCAGAUCAGCAUGCUGCGGUGAAUACGUUCCCGGGCCUUGUACACACCGCCCGUCACACCAUGAGAGCCGGGGGGACCCGAAAUCGGUAGUCUAACCGCAAGGAGGACGCCGCCGAAGGUAAAACUGGUGAUUGGGGUGAAGUCGUAACAAGGUAGCCGUACUAGUACGAAGGGUC